CAGCCUGUUGGAGCAGCUGGGACAUUUCCUCCAGGCUCAGGCCUGGCACAUGUGGUGGCUGUCGGUGACAUCCUCAGGGCUGCCUGCGAGACAAACAUCUCAUCCUCGGCACCAGCUGAUUUCCACAUCAUUGUUGGAGGAUGGUCUCUUCAGGACACACCUGAAGCACCUGUCUCCCUGCGGGAGCAGAAGCCACAAAGUUGAAACCCUUCACACACAUAAGACCACUCCAGGAUACACCUCUGUUUGAAAACAGGCAUCAAACACCAGGUACAAACAACCUCUGGCUGUUUACAAAGACUUGGUGUGGGGGACCUGUGGGUACAGCAUUCCCUCAACAAUCCCAAUACACUGGAGAUUUGCCAGAGGGUCCAGGCAGGUGUUGCUCCUCCUGAAGAGGGAAAGAAGGGGUUUGGGUUUGGAAAGUCAGCUGACAGUCAGAUACCUUCAGAUUUAACGACAUUCUCAUUACCAAGGGUCACACUUCCCCUGAUUUAACUGCCCUGGCAAAAUCCUGUCAGUACCACUCCCAUACAGAGUGGAAGAGCAUUUACCCAGUUAAUGGGAGCCAAGGCACAGCUAAAAAGGACAAUGGAAUUAGUACUUAAAUACCAGGCCUAGACUCGGUGGAGCUAUAGAUUAUUUUGUGUACUAAAGAAGAAUUAACUGAUCCAUUCUAAAAUGCAUUUAUUAUUAAAAUAAAAAUCUUCUGUGAUUUUAUUUAAUAGCCUUAGUAAGAAAUAAUUGCAAUGUCUGGUUGCUUUUCAACAACAUGUGGUUUUAAUAUUUUAAUUGUUACAAACUGUUUAAUAAUGAUGAACAAAAGGCGUGUCCAAGUAAUUAUUGUAUUUAUUAACAUUUCUUCUGAGGCCUUGAUAGAUUAUAUUGCAUAUAUACAGCACUUCAGACACUGUACUGCUAACUUAUUAAAGGAGGAAAAUGAGUCAAAA